rnacentral:rRNA from 1 species
UACGGAGGGGGCAAGCGUUGUUCGGAAUUACUGGGCGUAAAGGGCGCGUAGGCGGCCUGUUAAGUCGGACGUGAAAUCCCUCGGCUCAACCGGGGAACUGCGUCCGAUACUGGCGGGCUUGAAUUCGGGAGAGGGAUGUGGAAUUCCAGGUGUAGCGGUGAAAUGCGUAGAUAUCUGGAGGAACACCGGUGGCGAAGGCGGCAUCCUGGACCGACAUUGACGCUGAGGCGCGAAAGCCAGGGGAGCAAACGGG